rnacentral:snRNA from 1 species
GGAUGUAGGGAAGUUGCUAAAGAGAUCAGUGUUCAUCUGUCAGCCCAUUGAUCGCCAGGGUUGAUUCGGCUGAUCUGGCUGGCUAGGCCGGUGUCCCCUUCCUCCCUCACCGCUCCAUGUGCGUCCCUCCUGAAGGUGCGUGCUCGGUCGAAGAGGACGACCAUCCGCGAUAGAGGAGGACCGUUCUUCGGUCAAGGGUAUAAGAGUAGCUGCGCUCCCCUGCUAGAACCUCCAAACAAGCUCUCAAGAGAUCAGCAGUGUUUAAAGAAAGCAAAGAGACUGGGUACAGUGGUACAUGCUUGUAAUCCCAUAUAC